GGCCGGCGCGUCCUUCCACCCGGAGACCGCGCCUACUCUUAACUGAGCGGGCGCGGGAGACGGGUCUUUUACUUUGAAAAAAUCAGAGUGUUUCAAGCAGGCAGUCGCUCUUGCAUGGAUUAGCAUGGGAUAAUGAAAUAGGACUCUGGUGCUAUUUUGUUGGUUUCGAACACCGGAGUAAUGAUUAACAGGGACAGUCAGGGGCACUCGUAUUCCGCCGAGAGAGGUGAAAUUCUCAGACCAGCGGAAGACGAACCACUGCGAAAGCAUUUGCCAGGGAUGUUUUCACUGAUCAAGAACGAAAGUUAGGGGAUCGAAGACGAUCAUAUACCGUCGUAGUCUUAACCAUAAACCAUGCCGACUAGGGAUUGGAGGAUGUUCCAUUUGUGACUCCUUCAGCACCUUUCGGGAAACUAAAGUCUUUGGGUUCCGGGGGGAGUAUGGUCGCAAGGCUGAAACUUAAAGGAAUUGACGGAAGGGCACCACCAGGAGUGGAGCCUGCGGCUUAAUUUGACUCAACACGGGGAAACUUACCAGGUCCAGACAUUGUGAGGAUUGACAGAUUGAGAGCUCUUUCUUGAUUCGAUGGGUGGUGGUGCAUGGCCGUUCUUAGUUGGUGGAGUGAUUUGUCUGGUUAAUUCCGU
rnacentral:rRNA from 1 species